GCAAGUCGAACGUGAAGCCACCUUCGGGUGGUGGAAAGUGGCGGACGGGUGAGUAACGCGUAGGAAUUUACCUAAAGGUACGGAACAACUCAUGGAAACGUGAGCUAAUACCGUAUGAUGCCUCCGGGCCAAAGAUUUAUCGCCUUUAGAUGAGCCUGCGUCGGAUUAGGUAGUUGGUGGGGUAAAAGCUCACCAAGGCGACGAUCUUUAGCUGGUCUGAGAGGAUGAUC
rnacentral:rRNA from 1 species